rnacentral:rRNA from 1 species
AGUGAACGCUGGCGGUAGGCCUAACACAUGCAAGUCGAACGGCAGCACAGUAAGAGCUUGCUCUUACGGGUGGCGAGUGGCGGACGGGUGAGGAAUACAUCGGAAUCUACUUUUUCGUGGGGGAUAACGUAGGGAAACUUACGCUAAUACCGCAUACGACCUACGGGUGAAAGCAGGGGAUCUUCGGACCUUGCGCGAUUGAAUGAGCCGAUGUCGGAUUAGCUAGUUGGCGGGGUAAAGGCCCACCAAGGCGACGAUCCGUAGCUGGUCUGAGAGGAUGAGCAGCCACACUGGAACUGAGACACGGUCCAGACUCCUACGGGAGGCAGCAGUGGGGAAUAUUGGACAAUGGGCGCAAGCCUGAUCCAGCCAUACCGCGUAGGUGAAGAAGGCCUUCGGGUUGUAAAGCCCUUUUGUUGGGAAAGAAAAGCAGCAGGUUAAUACCCCGCUGUUCUGACGGUACCCAAAGAAUAAGCACCGGCUAACUUCGUG